AGCACCAAACAGAGAAAAGCAAAUUUAGAAGAAAGCAGUCAGGAUCAUCACUCUUUGAAUACACAGCAGAUGUUAUCAUAACUAGAGCUGAGCAAAUAUUUAAUCUGUCAGACUGGUGGCCAUGUGGGGUGGGGAAGGGGCAGGGAAACCCACUUUGGUUAAUUUCAAAUCAAAACUGAAUUGUUUUUUCUCAUCAAAAUGAAAAACUGGAAAACAAUGGAUUCAGACAGAAUUAACUUGAAAUGAAACAUCAUUUUGAAGUGAACUAUUUUGACUUAAUUAUAAAAAGAGAGAAAUUUUUUUAAUACAACUCUAACCACUUACUGAAUAUGACCCAAAUUAGCAGAUAGAUUUGGUCACUCCAAAACUAUAUUUUUUGGCAUAUUUACCAGUCUCUUAAAAAAAAAUUGCCCAGCUCUAAUGAUAACUCCUACCUGGUUUUCUUUGAGAGUCACCUCUGUCCAUUCCCACUUACAGAUAUGCCAUCUGACAUUGAGCUGCGGAACCACCUUGAAAACCUGUGUCUGCUGGAAGGGCGCACAAAAGAUCUUGUGAGAAGAUGACAUCAUUGCCCUACUUUGAAUGAAGGACUGCAACCACCUCAGUUCCUUUUCCCUAACUAUAGAGUCCUCAUGUUAUAUAGAGCUCUAGGCAGAGGGGAAGGCAGAUGAGUAGUGUGAACGCACAGACGUGACUCUUGAAGAACGACAGUUUGCUGAAGCCCACCACCUCCUGCAAACAGAGCUGAAACGAGAGUGGGGAUGUAUUUAUACUGACUCCAAAAGUAUGUACACCCAGUAGUUCUGUGUCAAAUUAAAUGUUUUAUAUUCAUG